rnacentral:pre_miRNA from 1 species
CGACAGAGAGAGACAGGGAAGGAGGUGGCCAAGGGAACCUGAGAAGGUGCACAAAGGUUUGUGUCCAAUACGCUCCACACCUUGUGCUACUCAGGUCCACUCAUGCCCUCCCAUGGUGUCAGCUCUCCU